rnacentral:rRNA from 1 species
GAUGAACGCUAGCGGCAGGCCUAACACAUGCAAGUCGAGGGGUAGAAGUUGCUUGCAACUUUGAGACCGGCGCACGGGUGCGUAACGCGUAUGCAAUCUGCCUUGUACUGAGGGAUAGCCCAGAGAAAUUUGGAUUAAUACCUCAUAGCAUUAUGAUGUGGCAUCACAUUAUAAUUAAAGUUCCAACGGUACAAGAUGAGCAUGCGUCCCAUUAGUUAGUUGGUAAGGUAACGGCUUACCAAGACGAUGAUGGGUAGGGGUCCUGAGAGGGAGAUCCCCCACACUGGUACUGAGACACGGACCAGACUCCUACGGGAGGCAGCAGUGAGGAAUAUUGGUCAAUGGGCGCAAGCCUGAACCAGCCAUGCCGCGUGCAGGAUGACGCAUCUAUGGUGUGUAAACUGCUUUUGUACAGGAAGAAACACUCCCUCGUGAGGGAGCUUGACGGUACUGUAAGAAUAAGGAUCGGCUAACUCCGUGCCAGCAGCCGCUGUAACAC